rnacentral:lncRNA from 1 species
AUGAGAGUGGAUGUAAACACAUGCACAUUAACAGAGUCAGAGGCACACUUGCACCCUCUACAGUCAACUGAAGAGGGGCUCUCCAACCAACUUCCUUUAUGUGCUUUGAAAUCCACCUUCAUCUCCAUGAAAGAAAAGGGCCGUAUUACUGAACAACAUCUGUCAAUUAUAGUGGAGCACGCUGUCCCUCUUUCCACUUGUGGUGAGGUGUCCUUGCCAUUUUUGUCUUCUUGAGGUGAGGUAGGUGUCACUGACUGUUGACCUUACCCUUGACCUCUCUUCCUCUUUCAAAUCUGUGACUAUUUAAAGCUGUUUUGCACUUUGUGGUUUUCUUUUUAACUUCUUAGUUUGAUUAUUGUUUCUGAUACCUGUUCUGUAAUUAUUGUUCUUGUUCUGAACCAGAAAAAGCACACACACACAACUAAGGGCUUUUAAAAUACAAAAUCAGAAUGUUUUGCUGCUGUUGCAAAAAAGAAAGUAAAAAAAAAGUUUUAUUGAAUGGUUUGUAAUAUUUUUUAACAGCUGUGAUUUGUACAAAAUGGAGCAAAAAAGGGGUUGGAAAAAGGUUAUCUGUUUCAGUAUUUUAAUGUUUGCUUGGCUUUUAAUAAAACUUAACUGAACUCAUUUAUUUGUGUGUUUUGAUUUGCUAUGAAAUGUUAACAUUGAUCAUAAAAAUGGUUACAUUAACACAUUUUAAUAUAAUAAUCAUUUAAAAUACAUGUAAAAGAGUAUAACUGUUCUCAGAUACACUGUAAAAAUGAUAUUUCAGUGUUGUAGAUAAAGAUUGGCUGUAUUGGAGUUUUAAAAAAACUUUGUCUUUCUGCUUCAAAAAUUCAUGUUUAAUUCAAUGUGUUACUUCUGUUUUAAUUAUGAUUAUAAAUUUACAAGCAAUUUCUGAGUAAAUCCUAUAUCAUUUUUUCAGUGUAUCUUAAACAUAAAUGAGAAAUGUGCACAAUUUUAUGUAAGAUUUGUACAGGUGAUCAGCUUGUUACGUGGAAAUUCAGUACUGUAAAAUGCCCUACAGAGGGAGACAUACACAGUUUUAAGCUUUCCUCUCGUUAAACUCUAUAAUAAAUAUAUUUACCAAAAUAUUAUAUAGGCUACAUAAUAUAAUAUGUCACAAAUAUUUUGCAUUACAAUUAUGACCAGCUUUCCAUGCACUAAUACCACAUACUGCUAGUUGAGCUGCUUAGGUUUGUUGCAGAAGCACUACUUUUAUUCAGCUGGCUCUUGCUUUAUGUCUCUCCUUCACAAAGUAGCAGACAAGAUGGCUGCGUCAUCUCAAAGUGACUGCCUUCCUUCCCCAGUCCCUCAGUCAAACGCCUGAAACAAUCAGAUCAAAAUGUCAGUCCCCAGAGGUGAUUUAAUAAAACAGUUGUAGUAUGAGAUUUUUGGUUGUCAUGCAAACACGGACAUGGUAAUGAUUUCCAUAGGACACGGUGGUGUUGCAUUGUUUGAAGGAAUACACAUCACAGGAAAUAAGUCAUCUCCAUACACACGUGCACACACACACUCACACACUGCAACAUUUCCAGUAACACUUUGAAGGGGCAAAGCCAACACAUAUGCUGUAAUUGAUGCUGCAGCCCCAAAAGAGGGGGUGUCUGUGUAGACGGGUGGCUAACAGACCAGAAAGUCUUCUUGGUGUGUGUUUGUGAGACACUGAUUACAGCCCUAGUGCUUGUGUCAUCAGAUCUGUGACUGAUGUGUUUGGUGGUGCCAUGGUUUGAUUCAUAACGGCCAGAAACACUGUAUGAAAGCACAAUGUGGUAACACUCUUAUGGCUGUAAUUGAGCAACUCUAAAAAGUCUCCAUGCUGGAUAUCUAGAAAAGCUUGUAUUAUAUAACAGAAUGUGCAGUACAGUAUUGUUUCUGAACUAAAUAUAAUUCUGAAGAGUGCCUUUUAUGCUGACACUGUUUUUCAUACACAUAAAUGUUAUACUAAGUUACAUAAGUGUAAAUUCUACCUGACCUUGCCACUGCAUUCCUCUUCCAUGAGAGCAUGGUCUUAUCCCACUCUCCCACAUUUUCCCUUCACACCAACGUGCCAUCAAGAAGCACAGUUUCCCAUAAAUGCCCUAAAAGGUGAAUGUAUUGUUAAUAGAAUAUAUUUUAUCUUUUGCAACUAGCAAACAUCUCACAAAUGGCUACCACAGUAUGCUCCAUUUUCUCCAUUCAUUUUUUCUUUAAAGAUCUGUUUAAUGUAAUGCCUCAGAUGUAAUAAGACCAUAGAUUGAUUUGCUUAACUGAGAAGAACAUGAACAUCCAGUUGCUCUUAAGAUUUUAUUGUUCAGAAUGGAAUUCCUCAAAGUUAUUCUUCAAUAAAUCUGUUGCCCCAAGUCCAAAACCAUUACUGGAAUCAGCAGAGCAAAGUCACAGACAUUCUCAACAGGAGCCGAAUGCCUAGACUCACUCACCCCCUCAUAACAAAUUCCUCUACAUUAGUGAGGUCCUUAGUCUAAAUACAGGGUGAAG